rnacentral:misc_RNA from 1 species
AAUGUCGUAACAAAGGUUUCCGUAGGUGAACCUGCGGAAGGAUCAUUAUCGUAGGGGCUUCGGCCCUGUCGAGAUAGAACCCUUGCCUUUAUGAGUACCGUCCGUUUCCUCGGCAGGCCCGCCUGCCGAUGGACCCAAAAACCAAAACCCCUUUUAUUACCUGUAUCAGCCUGAAAAAAUAAACAAAAAUUAAAA